CUUAAUUAAAGGAAUUCCCCUCUCCUGAUUGCUUUUAAUUGAUACUGAAUUAAUUUUUUGCCUUGCUUACUUGCCUGUUUUCAAAGUAUAAAUACCCUAUUUCUUUGCUUCAAAAUUUAGUUCAAACACACACACACACACUCAAAGCUCUCUUCUCUUUACUACUACUAGCAUUAUUGUUUGUGUCUAGCCGGCUGAAAGCCAAGGCUAGACUAUAGAACCCUGCUUGCUAUUCUCAAGUGUUUGCUGAAGCUUGAGUGAACUCUCUAGCUGUUUUUCUUACUUUGUUUGUUUUACUGUCUGAAAAUUGCAAACUGGUAUGCCCUUUUAUGCUCUAUAAGCAUCCUUAUUCAAUUUCUCUGCUUUUACCCUUUUUUUUGUGUGGUCAUUAAAUUUAUGCUUUCCUGCACUAUUUAAUUACUUUCAAGCAUGUUAAUCCCCUUCCUCUAUUCCCUUUGUAUGUG
rnacentral:lncRNA from 1 species